AUCUGACUUUACUCUGCUCCAUCAUCUGUUCCCCUGACCUUCUACUAUCUCAGAUACCUAUCGACUUCUAUCCGCGGAUUUUUGUUUUGUCAACAUCAGUAUUUUUAUCGAGGUUUGUAUUCUCCUUCAGUUGUUGAUUCUCUUCGCAAGUUAUUUUUUGCUCAAAACUUCUGCUGAGAUUUUCACUGUACUUCCUUUUCUUUUUGUUUGCUUUGCUUCUUCCUUUGACAGUGGUAUUUAGUUAAAAUUUUUAUUACAAAGGGGGUAAUCUUUCAUGAAUGGGUAUGGGUCUCUUUAUUUGUGUCCAUCUGACUAAUUUGUGAUGUUAAUAAUUUCAUGUUUUCUUCAUUAAUGGUAUCUUGAGUUUAUAUUGGUAGCAGUGGAAUUUUUUUUAAAGAUUGUUCGAACUCUAUCUAAGUUGUUCCACCGAUAAGAAGCUAAAUGUUUUUACAUUCUCGAGGAAAUAGUACACCAGGAGAAAAUUCAUUAGAACAACUCUCGAAUUAGGUUUUCCAUUGUUUGGUUACCUUCUGGUAAUGACUCCAUCGAAAAAUAAAUGAUAAAACACGGCUUGUUAAUAGUGAAGGGAGAGGCAACGAGAUAGAUCUACUUUGAUUAAAGGUGAAGGGAUGGCGAGAUGACAAAAUCAACAAGUAGGCUUGAUUAGGUGGCCUUGAAACCUCAAAGCAUAACCAAAGAUUUGAAGAUUAUAGGUUUGACGUGUCACUAAACAACAUUGACUAUUUAUGUUAUUGGGUUCGGAAUUCAAUAUUUAUAUAUAUUUAAGAGAUAUUUUAAUACAUAUACAAGGUUCGGUCAAAAGCCACUAGGUUCGACCAAAUCCAUAGCUUAUAUCUUGUCCCGCCUUUGAGAUCUCACAAUGCAUUCAAAGAGAACCAACAAGUUUUGUGUCAAUUUCAUUAGUUAGAAGCUACAUAAGUUAAUUUAAGCUCCAAUACUUCGAGGAGACAAAUCAUGAAGCAAUUACAAAAUACACAUAAUUAAGCACUAGAACAUGACUUUCUAGCAGGAAGUAUUAAUUUCUGAGUGCUAUCAUAAAUAGAAUGUUUUUUAAAGUAAUUAGUUUCAGAUUUCAUUUUAUAGCUUCCUUCUGCCCAUUUCUUGAACUUCUGUAUUAAUUUUCUCCUUUUGGAAUGAUCAUUUGAAUGACCUCCAUUAAUAGGGGACUUAAGCAGGUCCCACUGAUGAACUCCUCCUCAUGAUUAAGUCAUUUACUUCUGGUACAAAUUCUGUGAUAAUUUCUGUAUAUUCUUCUCCCAAAUUCAUUUCUUGAUCUUGGUUUUUCUCUUAUUCUAUAUGUUCUUCAUUCCUCCUCAUUAAUUCAUCUUUAAGCAUGCAUUAUACCACUUUAAGUAUAUUAGCUCUUUGUCUUCAGUAAUAAUCAGUGAUAUUCUUUAGUAUUCAGUCGGACAAAAUAUUAACUAUUAUAAACAAGUAACUAAAUGUAUUCUAUACCACAAAUUAUUUACAUAAGACUAAUUCUUAAAUACUACUAUGCCUUUUUGGUUAGAGCAGAACAUCUGAUGAAAUAUUCUUGUGUAGAUUCUUUUAGAUAAGCGUAAGAGCUAAGGUAUGUGAUAAACAAUUGAGUAUCUGAAAUGGUUGUACUUUGAAAGUUAUUCAUGACCUCGUUUAUAUCAUUCCAAGCAAAUGGCUACCACUGUGAGGCAGAUACAAACAAAUGCUUUUAAGCUUUGCUUUGAACGCAAUGUUAAAAACAUCAAAAAAUUGGUCAAAUCAAAAUCAGAUUCUAAAGCUUUUAUGUGAAGCACUUUGCAAGUAUCAUUAAAACAAUUAAUUGUAUACAUCAUGUUGGGCCUAUGAUGAGUAGUUUUGCUGUUAUUUUUCUUUUCCUUUUGGGAAGGGCCUUAGGGAUUUCCUGUUUGCCGAUUCAAUAUGUUCAAGUGGAUGUAGUUGGUGCUUCUUUUUCCCCUCUUAGAGUUACCGCUAUUGACUUCCAUGAUUAUCGUUAGGCAAAGUUAUAUGAUUUUAAUCUUUAAUUUUUUUAAUAUUGAAUCUUCUUUCUCGCUUACUACGAAUGUUACGAGGGAUUACGAAGUCUUUGUGGGUAGAUAUAGUUGAAUGUAUGAUAUAGGUAUACUGACGCAUAAGAUCUACUGACCAAAAAGUGAUCUAAAGCUUCUCUCAAUUACAUAGCUAAAGUUAAGAUGAGUCUUCAGUAGAAGUGAUUGCCUCCUCAAAGUUAAAAUAGGCUAUGAGCAGAUUUGUUCAGAAGUGGAACAAACUUUUUUCCUUUUCAUGUUAUUUGCAGUAUUUAUUGAUCUAAUAUUCUUCUUUUUGUUUAAUGUGCAGUAGGUGUUAUUUAUAGUUGUAUAAAGAUGAAAUUACGUUCUCAUCUAUAAUUUGGUUAUGUAGGAUAAACUAUACGAAAAUAUGUAUCAUUAACUUAACUCGUGCUACUUUCAACUAUGUGUGCACAUUUUAUUUUCAACAUGCACAUUAUUUUGCAUGCUUUUACCUGGAUAAAAAGAACAAAAAAUCAAGUCAUUUUGUCUCUUACCCACUAAGUUUUCCUAUUGUUUCUCAGUGUUAUCCAGUUUUGGUGCCUUAAUUAUGCAAAGUGUCUUUUCGUAAUUGCAUUCGGCAUCAACUGAUCAUUAUUCAGGUUACAUUGGUU
rnacentral:lncRNA from 1 species